CAUAGUGGCGCACGGGUGCGUAACACGUAUGCAACCUACCUUACAUUGGGGGAUAGCCUUUCGAAAGGGAGAUUAAUACCGCAUAAGACAGUAACUAGGCAUCUAGUAGCUGUUAAAGAUUUAUCGAUGUAAGCUGGGCAUGCGACCAAUUAGCUAGUUGGUGAGGUAAUGGCUCACCAAGGCUAUGAUUGGUAGGGGAACUGAGAGGUCAAUCCCCCACACUGGCACUGAGAUACGGGCCAGACUCCUACGGGAGGCAGCAGUAGGGAAUAUUGGGCAAUGGACGCAAGUCUGACCCAGCCAUGCCGCGUGCAGGAUGAAGGCGUUAUGCGUUGUAAACUGCUUUUAUACAGGAAGAAACGACUCUUGCGAGAGGCAUUGACGGUACUGUAUGAAUAAGCACCGGCUAACUCCGUGCCAGCAGCCGCGGUAAUACGGAGGGUGCAAGCGUUGUCCGGAUUUAUUGGGUUUAAAGGGUGCGCAGGUGGUUUAUUAAGUCAGUGGUGAAAGACGGUCGCUCAACGAUUGCAGUGCCAUUGAGACUGGUAGACUUGAGUAAAGUAGAGGUGGGCGGAAUUGAUAGUGUAGCGGUGAAAUGCAUAGAUAUUAUCAAGAACUCCAAUUGCGUAGGCAGCUCACUUGGCUUUUACUGACACUCAUGCACGAAAGUGUGGGUAUCAAACAGGAUUAGAUACCCUGGUAGUCCACACUGUAAACGAUGAUAACUAGGUGUCGGCCGAAUCUGGUCGGUGCCACAGCGAAAGCGUUAAGUUAUCCACCUGGGGAGUACGCCGGCAACGGUGAAACUCAAAGGAAUUGACGGGAGUCCGCACAAGCGGUGGAGCAUGUGGUUUAAUUCGAUGAUACGCGAGGAACCUUACCUAGGCUAGAAUGUGAAGGAAUGAUACAGAAAUGGAUCAGUC
rnacentral:rRNA from 1 species